rnacentral:tRNA from 1 species
GUCUCUGUGGCGCAAUAGGCUAGCUGUUCGGCUGUUAACCGAAAGGUUGGUGGUUCGAGCCCACCCAGGGACG